GAUGAACGCUGGCGGCGUGCCUAAUACAUGCAAGUCGAGCGAACAGACGAGGAGCUUGCUCCUCUGACGUUAGCGGCGGACGGGUGAGUAACACGUGGAUAACCUACCUAUAAGACUGGGAUAACUUCGGGAAACCGGAGCUAAUACCGGGUAAUAUAUUGAACCGCAUGGUUCAAUAGUGAAAGACGGUUUUGCUGUCACUUAUAGAUGGAUCCGCGCCGCAUUAGCUAGUUGGUAAGGUAACGGCUUACCAAGGCAACGAUGCGUAGCCGACCUGAGAGGGUGAUCGGCCACACUGGAACUGAGACACGGUCCAGACUCCUACGGGAGGCAGCAGUAGGGAAUCUUCCGCAAUGGGCGAAAGCCUGACGGAGCAACGCCGCGUGAGUGAUGAAGGUCUUCGGAUCGUAAAACUCUGUUAUUAGGGAAGAACAAGUGUGUAAGUAACUAUGCACGUCUUGACGGCACCUAAUCAGAAAGCCACGGCUAACUACGUG
rnacentral:rRNA from 1 species